UUGAAAUGGGGCAUGUCAGCCGUGCUAUUGGUAUUUUGUAAACUUCAUCCUUUGUCUGUCAGUAAAGUUAAUUUUUAUCAAAUCAUUUAUCUAGAACUAAUGAGAGACUGCAAGAGCCCUCCAGUGGCCAAGCUAAUUUCUGCAAAAAUACCAUCAUCAGAAUGAAAAAGGAAUUGUAUGCAGUUGUUAAAUCUUGACAGCGAAGAGAAGGGAUGGCUAGAAUUAUUUUAGCUGUUUAAAGGGCCAUAUGCUGUACUUGUAGGAACUAUGAUCUCAUAGGUUGAAUUAGACAGGAUAUCAUUUAAUGCAGUCUGAGACUCUUGGCAGAGAAGUGGAUGAAUAGAAUUGCUACUUGAAGAGAGAAAACACUCUGAGAGGAUUCAAGCCUAAAACUCCAGCUGAAUUUGAAUCUCCAGGUGGAAGUGAAUUGUGAAGGUGCCACUCUUCUCUGCUGGAAGUAUAUGCAUUGAGGCCAGCGUGUCUAGUCUGUCACAAUCCUGGGUCGUCGGGGGACUGUACCGAGCGCCCUUGGAGUGCUCGCAGCAGGGAAGAAGGAGCGAGCAGGGAGGAGCUGAGGAGGGUCGGAGCGGAAUGGACACCCAGAGACUGAGAUGAGAGAGGGGCUAUAAGAAGAGAAACCAGUCGCAGGAAAACAGAACUCUCG
rnacentral:lncRNA from 1 species